rnacentral:rRNA from 1 species
AGAGCGUAAGGGGAAUACCUUGGCUCUCAGAGGCGAUGAAGGACGUGAUAAGCUGCGAUAAGUUGCGAGGAAUGGCACAAACAUUUUGAUCCGCAAAUUUCCGAAUGGGGCAACCCGGCAUAUUGAAGAUAUGUCACACUGUAAAGUGAGCAAACCUGGUGAACUGAAACAUCUAAGUAACCAGAGGAAUAGAAAACAAAAGUGAUUCCGCUAGUAGUGGCGAGCGAACGUGGAAUAGCCCAAACCUAAAUUGUUACGGCAAUUUAGGGGUUGUAGGACCUCAACAUUUAAUGCUAAUAGAACUAGAAUUUACUGGAAAGUAAAACCAAAGAAGGUGAUAGUCCUGUAUAGGUAAUUGAUGUUAUUAAUAGAGGUAUCCUGAGUAGUACGGAGCACGUGAAACUUUGUAUGAAUUUGCCAGGACCAUCUGGUAAGGCUAAAUACUCCUGAGAGACCGAUAGUGAACUAGUACCGUGAGGGAAAGGUUAAAAGUACCCUGAAUAAGGGAGUGAAAUAGAUCUUGAAACCUUACGCUUACAAGCGGUCGGAGCCCAUUUAUGGGUGACGGCGUGCCUUUUGCAUAAUGAGCCUACGAGUUACCUUUGCUAGCAUGGCUAAUCCGUUAAGCGGAGCAACCGAAGCGAAAGCGAGUCUGAAUAGGGCGUUUAGUUAGCAGUGGUAGACGCGAAACCUAGUGAUCUAUCCAUGGGCAGGUUGAAGCUGUAGUAACAUACAGUGGAGGACCGAACCCGUAGACGUUGAAAAGUCUUGGGAUGACCUGUGGAUAGGGGUGAAAGGCCAAUCAAACUAGGAAAUAGCUCGUACUCCCCGAAAUGCAUUUAGGUGCAGCGUUACAUUAAGUUACAUAGAGGUAGAGCUACUGAUUGGAUGCGGGGGUGUCACAACCUACCAAUUCCUGACAAACUCCGAAUGCUAUGUAAUGUUUUGUGGCAGUGAGGGCAUGGGUGCUAAGGUCCAUGUCCGAGAGGGAAACAACCCAGACCAUCAGCUAAGGUCCCAAAAUAUAUACUAAGUUGAAUUAAACGAAGUUUGACUACCUAGACAGCUAGGAUGUUGGCUUGGAAGCAGCCAUUCAUUUAAAGAGUGCGUAACAGCUCACUAGUCGAGUGGUCGAGCAUGGAUAAUAAUCGGGCAUAAGUAUAUUACCGAAGCUAUGGCAUUAUUUAUAAUGGGUAGGGGAGCAUUCUAUUGACGUUGAAGGUGAACUGUGAGGUUUGCUGGAGUUUAUAGAAACGAAAAUGUAGGCAUAAGUAACGAUUAGGGGUGCGAGAAACACCCCCUCCGAAAAACUCAGGUUUCCUCAGCUAUGCUAAUCAGCUGAGGGUUAGUCAGGACCUAACACGAACCCAAAUGGGGUAGUGGAUGGACAACCAGUUAAUAUUCUGGUACCUGCUUAACAAUAAAAGCGACGGAAAAGAAAUGUUAUUGCGUACUGACGGAAUAGUACGUUGAAAUUACUUUUAAGGUAAUGAUAGUACAUCAAAUCUACGGAUGAGGUGAUAAUAUAGCGGAUCUUUUUCCAAGAAAAACAAGUUAAGCAGCCUGUACCUUAAACCGACACAGGUAGUUGGGAUGAGGAUUCUAAGGAGCUCGAGAGAUUCAUGGCUAAGGAACUAGGCAAAUUUGACCCGUAACUUCGGGAUAAGGGUCGCCUACUUUUAGUAGGCCGCAGUGAAAAGGUCCAAGCGACUGUUUAUCAAAAACACAGGACUCUGCUAAGUCGAAAGACGAUGUAUAGGGUCUGACACCUGCCCGGUGCCGGAAGGUUAAGUGGAAAUGUUAGCCCCGGUAAACGGCGGCCGUAACUAUAACGGUCCUAAGGUAGCGAAAUUCCUUGUCGGGUAAGUUCCGACCUGCACGAAUGGUGUAACGAUUUGGACACUGUCUCAGCCAUGAGCUCGGUGAAAUUGUAGUAGCGGUGAAGAUGCCGCUUACCCGCCACGGGACGAAAAGACCCCGUGCACCUUUACUAUAGCUUCGUAUUGAUAUUGGAUAAGUAAUGUGUAGGAUAGGUGGGAGACUUUGAUUAGGCGUCGCCAGGCGUUUAUGAGUCGUUGUUGAAAUACCACCCUUUACUUCUCUGAUAUCUAAUCCCUUUGGGGAGACAGUGCGUGGUGGGUAGUUUGACUGGGGUGGUCGCCUCCAAAAGAGUAACGGAGGCUUCUAAAGGUACCCUCAACACGGUUGGUAAUCGUGUGUAGAGUGCAAUGGCAUAAGGGUGCUUGACUGAGAGACUGACAAGUCGAUCAGGUUGGAAACAAGAGCAUAGUGAUCCGGUGGUUCCGCAUGGAAGGGCCAUCGCUCAAAGGAUAAAAGGUACGCCGGGGAUAACAGGCUGAUCUCCCCCAAGA